rnacentral:rRNA from 1 species
UACGUAGGUGGCUAGCGUUGUCCGGAUUUACUGGGCGUAAAGAGCGCGCAGGCGGUCGUUCAAGUCGAGUGUGAAAGCCCCCGGCUCAACUGGGGAGGGUCACUCGAUACUGAUCGACUCGAAGGCAGGAGAGGGGAAGCGGAAUUCCCGGUGUAGUGGUGAAAUGCGUAGAUAUCAGGAAGAACACCCGUGGCUAAGGCGGCUCUCUAGUACGGUACUGGACGCUGAGACGCGAAAGCGUGGGGAGCGAACAGG